rnacentral:rRNA from 1 species
GAUGAACGCUGGCGGCGUGCCUAAUACAUGCAAGUCGAGCGAACGGACGAGAAGCUUGCUUUUCUGGUGUUAGCGGCGGACGGGUGAGUAACACGUGGAUAACCUACCUAUAAGACUGGGAUAACUUCGGGAAACCGGAGCUAAUACCGGAUAAUAUUUUGAACCGCAUGGUUCAAAAGUGAAAGACGGUCUUGCUGUCACUUAUAGAUGGAUCCGCGCUGCAUUAGCUAGUUGGUAAGGUAACGGCUUACCAAGGCAACGAUGCAUAGCCGACCUGAGAGGGUGAUCGGCCACACUGGAACGGAGACACGGUCCAGACUCCUACGAGAGGCAGCAGUAGGGAAUCUUCCGCAAUGGGCGAAAGCCUGACGGAGCAACGCCGCGUGAGUGAUGAAGGUCUUCGGAUCGUAAAACUCUGUUAUUAGGGAAGAACAUAUGUGUAAGUAACUGUGCACAUCUUGACGGUACCUAAUCAGAAAGCCACGGCUAACUACGUG